rnacentral:rRNA from 1 species
AACGAACGCUGGCGGCAUGCCUAACACAUGCAAGUCGAACGAGGCUUCGGCCUUAGUGGCGCACGGGUGCGUAACGCGUGGGAAUCUGCCCUUGGGUUCGGAAUAACUCAGAGAAAUUUGAGCUAAUACCGAAUGAUGUCGAAAGACCAAAGAUUUAUCGCCCAAGGAUGAGCCCGCGUAGGAUUAGCUUGUUGGUGAGGUAAAGGCUCACCAAGGCGACGAUCCUUAGCUGGUCUGAGAGGAUGAUCAGCCACACUGGGACUGAGACACGGCCCAGACUCCUACGGGAGGCAGCAGUGGGGGAAUAUUGGACAAUGGGCGAAAGCCUGAUCCAGCAAUGCCGCGUGAGUGAUGAAGGCCUUAGGGUUGUAAAGCUCUUUUACCAGGGAUGAUAAUGACAGUACCCGGGAGAAUAAGCUCCGGCUAACUCCGUGCCAGCAGCCGCGGUAAUGUCUGUACU